AUUGAGAAACCUCCUUUGGGGUAUUAGUCCUGGAGACAGGGCGACAUUGUCAAAUUGUUCGGGGACCACCUGUUAAAUUAUAUGCUACUGCAGCAGUGCUGAAAGGCCUGUGAGCACUGAGGGUAACGCCCUCAGGGAUGGUAAUAACGCAUAUAUAGGGUAUAUCCGCAGCGAAGUUCUAAGGCUUUCGAGCUAUGAAUCGCGUUCACAGACUAGACGGCAAUGGGCUCCUCGCGGGGCUUAAGAUAUAGUCGAACCCCUCAGAGAUGAGGAU
rfam:Sclerotinia sclerotiorum 1980 scaffold_35 genomic scaffold, whole genome shotgun sequence.